rnacentral:rRNA from 1 species
GGUGUGUAAGUAUGGUAACAUAUGUAGCUAACCAGUACUAAUAGCCCGAUUGAUUUACUUAA